rnacentral:lncRNA from 1 species
UAUGAGUUCAAAGUGCGACUUAAGAAUCUAAAUCGGACUCUCAUUUACGAAUCUAGCCCCGAGAUUCUAAAUUUACGACUACAAUCAACGAUACCCUCGUUUUAAAUCUAUUUUGUCGCUAUGGCCUUAAUAGACCAAGGAUCAUUUUGUCGCUUUGGCCUUAAUGAUCCUAUCCCAUCUUGUCGCUAUGGCCUUGAUGAGGAUCGAGAGUCGCUCUGUCGCUAUGGCCGGAGUUUGGCUAAAACACCAG